rnacentral:sRNA from 1 species
AAAACUGAGGAGGCGGAGCCAAGACGGUCGGGGCUGCUUGCUAACUCCAGGAACAGGUUUAAGUUUUUGAAACUGAAGUAGGUCUACACAGUAGGAACUCAUGUCAUUUCUUACCAAUGAUGCGAGCUCAGAGUCAAUAGCAUCCUUCUCUAAACAGGAGGUCAUGAGUAGCUUUCUGCCAGAGGGAGGGUGUUACGAGCUGCUCACUGUGAUAGGCAAAGGAUUUGAGGACCUGAUGACUGUGAAUCUAGCAAGGUACAAACCAACAGGAGAGUACGUGACUGUACGGAGGAUUAACCUAGAAGCUUGUUCCAAUGAGAUGGUAACAUUCUUGCAGAGACAGAGUUUCACCAUCUUGCCCAGGCUGGUCUCAAACUCCUGAGCUCGAGCAAUCAACUCACCUCAGCCUCCCAAAAUGCUAGGAUUACAGGGCGAGCUGCAUGUCUCCAAACUCUUCAACCAUCCCAAUAUCAUGCC